UGAAGAUGGCAGGAUGAACCCUAAAAGGAAAAACAAAUAAAAGAGAACAAGAGGAAGCAUUUUUUACUUUUCUGUCCAACUGUAGUAUUUGAACUUCGUUCUUCUUCUUCGUUUGCGUUCUUUCUAC
rnacentral:ribozyme from 12 species